rnacentral:lncRNA from 1 species
AGCACGACUUCGCCGUGGGCUUUGAACGGGGAACUUAACUCACGACCCGAAAGGCAGCACACUUCCAAAUCGAAUGCAAGCAACUUUCAACCGAAACAAAACCCGCAUAUACAGGGGCCCGGGCGAAAUCAAUCAAGCCCCCUCAAAUGACAGCUGUUUCGGCUAGUGACGUUCAAUUGCAUGCGCAGAUGCUCCGAUUUGUCUUGCGGUGGCAAGGACAAUAGUUGCUUGCCAUUGGCACCCUGCAUAUUCACUAUGAGCAUGUAAUACAUUAUGUUCUAGUCCAGGAGUUCCCUCUGACAAGACAAACAUGCUACAUAACCCAUGUAUGGCCGUGAUGGGCAGUCAUGUUAAUUAACAGACUGCAUCUCAUUCUGUCAGUUGUUUUGAUAAAGAGGAACUAUUUUAAUGAGGACUUCUGCAUUUAAAAAAAAAAAACAAUGUCUUUGAUCCAAACCGUUCUGUCAAAAAGAUAAGUUUGAUAACAUGGUUGGCUAGAGUUUAAACAGCUAAAACACAGGUAAUGUGCCAGACUGUAAAGCUAACCCAGCUUGGUUGGAUUAACUAGCUAUGUCAUUAGGAAAAUAUGGCAAGGUCCAGAUGACAAUCAAUGGUUUUCCACAGUCGUGAGUGAAAGAUCAGUCAGCUAGCUCUUUGAUUGGGGUGCUAAAGAUCAGUCAGCUAGCUCUUUGAUAGGGGUGCUAAAGAUCAGUCAGCUAGGGGUGCUAAAGAUCAGUCAGCUAGCUCUUUGAUGGGGUUUUAAAGAUCAGUCAGCUAGCUCUUUGAUGGGGUUUUAAAGAUCAGUCAGCUAGCUCUUUGAUGGGGUUUUAAAGAUCAGUCAGCUAGGGGUGCUAAAGUUCAGUCAGCUAGGGGUGCUAAAGAUCAGUCAGCUAGGGGUGCUAAAGAUCAGUCAGCUAGGGGUGCUAAAGAUCAGUCAGCUAGGGGUACUAAAGAUCAGUCAGCUAGCUCUUGGUAGGGGAACCCGUGAACCGUUACUGAGUGGCAAAUGGCUAAGGAAAUCUUACAACAAAAAAGGUAGCCUGGCUAGUUAGCCAACUAGUUAUGCAGUAAAUUGGCUGGUUAACUAAGUUAACUAAUAAGCAUUCCAAGUUUAAAAUGCCUUGACAAAAUGUAAGACAACAGCCCCAAUUAUGACCGGGUUUCUGACCAAUAAUAAUAAUAAUAAUAAUAAUAAUUUAGAUGUCUUCUAAUUGAAGGGUAUCGCAUAAAACUGAAUCCGUGAGACAGAACAAUCAAAGCCAGCCAAGUUAGUUGUCACUCUGGCUAGCAGGUGGCUAACACUAACAUUGAGUCAUCUAACGUUAGCCAGUGAGUUGUGAAGUAAGCGUUGAUGUGAAACUAGUCAAUAUACUAUUUAUCAAACAUUUAGCUACAACGUUAAAAAAAAAUAGGACUGUACUUUAUUGUCAAGCCGUGCCCCCCACCCCUAUUCCAGAUUUUAGGUCAGAGAAGUGUAGCCAACCUAGCUAGCUAGUGUUAGCCGAAAACAGGCUAGUUGGCGAAGCUAAUUAAAACGCAUAAUGAACAUCACAGACCCCGCUGGUCUUCUUACCUGUGAAUUUAGCUGAUAGGCCGUACCUGUCCGUUUUUGCUUGAUGAAAUCACCAUAUUAUACUGAAAAAGGGGAUUUGAAACGCCGGUGUAGAUGGAUGGUGACUAGAUAGGACCAAAACCUAGCUAGCUAGCUGGCUGUUUAUCAUAUGCCUUUUUGGAAAGAGCUAGCUAGCCUCCUGGUUUCCAGCACGACGCCAGCUCUUUGGAGAUGUUCACGAUGCACCACUCCUA